rnacentral:rRNA from 1 species
UACGUAGGGGGCGAGCGUUGUCCGGAUUUAUUGGGCGUAAAGAGCUCGUAGGCGGUUUGGUAAGUCGGGUGUGAAAUCUCCACGCUCAACGUGGAGGGGCCACUCGAUACUGCCAUGACUCGAGUCCGGUAGAGGAGUGUGGAAUUUCCGGUGGAGCGGUAAAAUGCGUAGAGAUCGGAAAGAACACCAACGGCGAAAGCACUCUGCUGGGCCGACACUGACACUGAGAGACGAAAGCUAGGGGAGCGAAUGGG